rnacentral:lncRNA from 1 species
AUAUAUAUAAAAUUAACUGUUAUUUAAUCAAAUGGUACAUGCUUUGAAGAUGUAUUUUUGAAUGCCUUAGUAACUUUAAGAAUGAAAAACUGUAGCAAGUUUACUCCAUUCAUAUCAUUGUCUUCAAUUAAUUACUUAGACAUUCUCUAAGUUGUGAAUUCUUCCUUAUUUAUUGAUUCUUUAAUUUAUAGAUUGAAUCAUAUAUUUCCUACUGUGGUGGGCUUCCAGCCCCUGAACAUUCAAACAA